rnacentral:rRNA from 1 species
UACAGGGGGGGCAAGCGUUGUUCGGAAUUACUGGGCGUAAAGGGCUCGUAGGUGGCCAACUAAGUCAAACGUGAAAUCCCUCGGCUUAACCGGGGAACUGCGUCUGAUACUGGAUGGCUUGAGUUUGGGAGAGGGAUGCGGAAUUCCAGGUGUAGCGGUGAAAUGCGUAGAUAUCAGGAGGAACACCAAUUGCGAAGGCAGCUCGCUGGGACGUUACUGACGCUGAGACGCGAAAGCGUGGGGAGCAAACAGG